rnacentral:pre_miRNA from 1 species
GGGGUAACGCUGUAUCUUGGGCUGUGUCCCCGACACCCAGUGCUCCUGGGCCUGCGCUGUUGGAAUCGUGCUCCCGGCCGUGCAGCUCCCU